rnacentral:rRNA from 1 species
GACGGAGGAUGCAAGCGUUAUCCGGAAUGAUUGGGCGUAGAGCGUCCGCAGGUGGCAGUUCAAGUCUGCUGUCAAAGACCGGGGCUUAACUUCGGAAAGGCAGUGGAAACUGAACAGCUAGAGUAUGGUAGGGGCAGAGGGAAUUCCUGGUGUAGCGGUGAAAUGCGUAGAGAUCAGGAAGAACAUCGGUGGCGAAGGCGCUCUGCUGGACCAUAACUGACACUCAGGGACGAAAGCUAGGGGAGCGAAUGGG